GAUGAACGCUGGCGGCGUGCCUAAUACAUGCAAGUCGAACGAAACUUCUUUAUCACCGAGUGCUUGCACUCACCGAUAAAGAGUUGAGUGGCGAACGGGUGAGUAACACGUGGGCAACCUGCCCAAAAGAGGGGGAUAACACUUGGAAACAGGUGCUAAUACCGCAUAACCAUAGUUACCGCAUGGUAACUAUGUAAAAGGUGGCUAUACUACCGCUUUUGGAUGGGCCCGCGGCGCAUUAGCUAGUUGGUAGGGUAAAGGCUUACCAAGGCAAUGAUGCGUAGCCAAAUUGGGCGUGUGAUGGGCCACUUUGGGACUGAGACACGGCCCAAACCCCCACGGGAGGCCGCAGUGGGGAAUCUUCCACAAGGGGCGAAAGCCGGAGGGAGAAACGCCGGGGGGGUGAAGAAGGUUUUCGGAUCGUAAAACCCUGUUGUGAGGGAAGAAAGUGCGUGGGGGUAACUGUUCCCGUUUCGACGGUAUCUAACCAGAAAGCCGCGGCUAACUACGU
rnacentral:rRNA from 1 species